rnacentral:rRNA from 1 species
UGGGGAAUAUUGGACAAUGGGGGCAACCCUGAUCCAGCAAUGCCGCGUGUGUGAAGAAGGUCUUCGGAUUGUAAAGCACUUUCGACGGGGACGAUGAUGACGGUACCCGUAGAAGAAGCCCCGGCUAACUUCGUGCCAGCAGCCGCGGUAAUACGAAGGGGGCUAGCGUUGCUCGGAAUGACUGGGCGUAAAGGGCGUGUAGGCGGUUUACACAGUCAGAUGUGAAAUCCCCGGGCUUAACCUGGGAGCUGCAUUUGAUACGUGUAGACUAGAGUGUGAGAGAGGGGUUUGUGGA